ACAUGAAAAGUUAGAAGCUUCAAACCCAUCUAGUCAUUCUUAAGAUUAGACCUCAGAUCAGGCAGGAUUACCCGCUGAACUUAAGCAUAUCAAUAAGCGGAGGAAAAGAAACUAACAAGGAUUCCCCUAGUAACGGCGAGUGAAGCGGGAAGAGCUCAAAUUUGUAAUCUGGUACUUUCAGUGCCCGAGUUGUAAUCUCGAGAAGUGUUUUCCGCGCCGGACCGCAUACAAGUCUGUUGGAAUACAGCGUCAUAGUGGUGAGAACCCCGUAACUGAUGCGGACGCCCGGUGCUUUGUGAUACACUUUCGAAGAGUCGAGUUGUUUGGGAAUGCAGCUCAAAUUGGGUGGUAAAUUCCAUCUAAAGCUAAAUAUUGGCGAGAGACCGAUAGCGAACAAGUACCGUGAGGGAAAGAUGAAAAGCACUUUGGAAAGAGAGUUAACAGUACGUGAAAUUGUUGGAAGGGAAACGCUUGAAGUCAGACUUGCUAUUUGGAGUUCAGCCGCAAGGUGUAUUCUUCAAUUUGCAGGCCAGCAUCAGUUUUUGGGGGUGGAAAAGGGUAUUGAGAAGGUAGCAGUUUCGGCUGUGUUAUAGCUCUUUACUGGAUUCAUCCUUGGGGACUGAGGAAUGCAGCGCGCUUUUUGCAAGGCUCUCGGGCUUUUCGCGCUUAGGAUGCUGGUAGAAUGGCUUUAAACGACCCGUCUUGAAACACGGACCAAGGAGUCUAACAUGCUUGCGAGUGUUUGGGUGUUAAACCCGGACGCGCAAUGAAAGUGAAUGGAGGUGGGAUCCGCAAGGUGCACCAUCGACCGAUC
rnacentral:rRNA from 1 species